GAGAGUAUAGCUUAGUGGUAGAAGUGUGCUUAGCAUGCAGGAGGUCCUGGGUUCAAUCCCCAGUACCUCCA
rnacentral:tRNA from 1 species